rnacentral:rRNA from 1 species
UACGGGGGGGGCAAGCGUUGUUCGGAAUUACUGGGCGUAAAGGGCUCGUAGGCGGCCAACUAAGUCAGACGUGAAAUCCCUCAGCUUAACUGGGGAACUGCGUCUGAUACUGGCGAGCUUGAGUGCAGGAGAGGAACGCGGAAUUCCAGGUGUAGCGGUGAAAUGCGUAGAUAUCUGGAGGAACACCGGUGGCGAAGGCGGCGUUCUGGACUGCAACUGACACUGAUGAACGAAAGCCAGGGGAGCAAACGGG